rnacentral:ncRNA from 1 species
CUCUAAUAUCAAUUCAGAUUAUAUAUUUUAAGGAAUAUAUACAGCAAUAUAUUAGAUAUUAAAGAGACUUAUUCCAUCCGAUUUACAAAUAGUAAAAAGGUAAACACGAAUCAAUAAAAUACAUAUUAGUAAAGUGAAAAACUAGAAUAUAUGUAU